rnacentral:rRNA from 1 species
GGGGGCUUCGGCUCUCGCCUUUAGAUUGGCCCAAGUGGGAUUAGCUAGUUGGUGAGGUAAUGGCUCACCAAGGCGACGAUCCUAGCUGGUUUGAGAGGAUGAUCAGCCACACUGGGACUGAGACACGGCCCAGACUCCUACGGGAGGCAGCAGUGGGGAAUAUUGCACAAUGGGCGCAAGCCUGAUGCAGCCAUGCCGCGUGUGUGAAGAAGGCCGUUCGGGUUAGUAAAGCUACUUUCAGUCAGGAAGGAAAGGUUAACGGUUAAUACCCGUUAGCUGUGACGUUACUGACAGAAGAAGCACCGGCUAACUCCGUGCCAGCAGCCGCGGUAA